UACGUAGGCAGCGAGCGUUGUUCGGAAUUACUGGGCGUAAAGAGUGUGUAGGCGGUGCUCUAAGUUUGGGGGGAAAUCUCCCGGCUCAGCUGGGAGGGUGCAUCGAAAACUGGAGUGCUCGAGGGUGGGAGAGGUAAGCGGAAUUCCUGGUGUAGCGGUGAAAUGCGUAGAUAUCGGGAGGAACACCUGUGGCGAAAGCGGCGCACUGGGCCAUAACUGACGCUGAUGCGCGAAAGCUAGGGGAGCAAACAGG
rnacentral:rRNA from 1 species